rnacentral:pre_miRNA from 1 species
UCUUUAGUAUAAGUAUAUUCCAUUCAAUAUUGGGGAUAUACUUAUACUAAGA